GGUGAACGUUGGCGGUGCGUCUAAUACAUGCAAGUCGAGCGAGGCUUCGAGCCGAGCGGCAGACGGCUGAGUAACACGUUGGUAACUACCUCAAAUGCAUGGAUAACGCCUAGAAACUGGUUCAAAUCCUGAAAGGUCCGGUAAGGGUAAGGUUUUUAGGGUUUGAGAGGUGCCUGCGUCCUAUCAGGUAGUUGGUGUGGUAACGGCUCACCAAGCUUAGGACGGGUGACUGGUCUGCGAGGAUGACCAGUCAGAGGGAAACUGAGACACGGUUCCCACUUCUACGGAAGGCAGCAGUAAAGAAUCUUCAACAAUGGACGAAAGUCUGAUGGAGCGACCCCGCGUGCAGGAUGACGGCCCUUGGGUCGUAAACUGCUUUUUUGGGGGAAAGAUUCUGAUUGUACCCUAAGAAUAAGCACCGGCAAAUCACGUG
rnacentral:rRNA from 1 species